UGGGGAAUUUUGGACAAUGGGGGAAACCCUGAUCCAGCAAUGCCGCGUGUGUGAAGAAGGCCUGAGGGUUGUAAAGCACUUUAGUUGGGGAGGAGGAUUGCUAGGUUAAGAGCUAGGCAAUCGGACGUUACCCAAAGAAUAAGCACCGGCUAACUCCGUGCCAGCAGCCGCGGUAAUACGGAGGGUGCGAGCGUUAAUCGGAAUUACUGGGCGUAAAGGGUGCGUAGGUUGUUUGAUAAGUUGUCUGUGAAAUAUCUGGGCUCAACCUGGGUUGGUCAGAUAAUACUGUUGAACUAGAGUAUGGGAGAGGGUAGUGGAAUCUCCGGUGUAGCGGUGAAAUGCGUAGAGAUCGGAAGGAACACCAGUGGCGAAGGCGGCUACCUGGCCUAAUACUGACACUGAGGCACGAAAGCGUGGGUAGCAAACAGGAUUAGAUACCCUGGUAGUCCACGCUGUAAACGAUGUCGACUAGCUGUUGGUCAUAUGAAUAUGACUAGUGGCGCAGCAAACGCGAUAAGUCGACCGCCUGGGGAGUACGCACGCAAGUGUG
rnacentral:rRNA from 1 species